rnacentral:lncRNA from 1 species
CAAAUUCAGAGCUGUAUUAAGCUUGAAUGUUGUAUCCAUACUUGCCCCUACUGUUCAGGGUUCGACCUCUGCGGUUGUAUUAAGCUGCACCCUACUGAGCAUUUUAAUAAAAGAGGGGCGAAAGAUACCAGAGGGACAGUCAAACUCUUAGAUCGAAAAUAAACUGACAAUGCCAUGGCUAAAAAAGAAGACAACAAACAGACAAAUAAUAGUACACAAGACACAACAAAGAAAAAUAAAGACUAAGCAACUCGAACC